rnacentral:rRNA from 1 species
UACGUAGGGGGCUAGCGUUGUCCGGAAUCAUUGGGCGUAAAGCGCGUGUAGGCGGUUCGGUAAGUCCGCUGUGAAAGUCGGGGGCUCAACCCUCGAAUGCCGGUGGAUACUGUCGGACUAGAGUACGGAAGAGGCGAGUGGAAUUCCUGGUGUAGCGGUGAAAUGCGCAGAUAUCAGGAGGAACACCGGUGGCGAAGGCGGCAUCCCUGGACCGGUAUUGACGCUGAGGCGCGAAAGCCAGGGGAGCAAACGGG